AGAGAAUUGAUAAAGACUGAAUUCUGAUCAGCAUAUGGAGGGAAAGCUCCCAUAUAGAGGAAAAACAUUUUUAAAUGUUGGGGUAAGUAGUCAUAACUUGGGAAAAGUACCUCUGAUAUUUGAUUAUAUGCAUCCUCAAAAAGUGAGUUGUGUUGUUUGCAGGCUACCUCAGUCCAGUAUUCUGGGGUCUUGUCGGCUUUUGAUAGGAGCUCUGCAACCGUGACUGUCAUAAGAGGAAGGCCUUCACAUUUCUUUGCAAUCUUCUCUCCUAGUUCCUCAAGUUGGCGAGGGAAACCGUCUUCACUGAACACCUUCUCACCAAGUAAUUUCUUAUUGUCUUCUUCAUUCAACAAGCUCAGUGUUAUGCCCGUAAGCUGCGGGUGUGUUAUUUGUUGUCUACUUGUAAGCAAGUAUCCAAUCCCUCCACGAAUAUUCCCUUCUUUCAAGCAAUUUAUCAUGCGACGUAUUGCUUGUGUCUCCCAAACAUCAUCCAACACGAUGAGACAUUUCUUACCCUGCAAUUUUUCUUUCAAUAGACCAACUAAUUCCUCACCAUCAUCGUCUCCUUGGGCAAGCAUUCGGUAAGCGUUGGGAUCCACUUGAGCUAGAACGCAGCGUAAUAAUUCAUUGGGUUCGCAUAUUCUACCCACUUUGACCCAUGCUCGAAACUCAAAAUGGCUCCGAAUUGAUGGAUCUUCAAAUAUAUGUUUAGCAAUAGUUGUCUUUCCAAUGCCCGCCAUCCCAAUAAUCGAAUAGUGUUUUUCUUCAAGAAGAUUAUCUCUGGCUCUUUGAAAUACAUAAGAUCUUCCAACCAUCUUUGACUUGAUUCCACCAAAAUCGAUUCUUGAGGAAAUAGGCUCGCCUUCUUCUUCAGCCAUAUUCUCCAUUUCAUUAGUGUACUCCUCCAUCAUCUUCACCAUCUCGACGAAGCAAUCAACAUGGUGUGCAGAUGCAGAUCUACAGAGAAGACAAGUUGCUCUCGCUUUCGAGUUGUGGAAGAAUCUGAGGUAAGAAUGGGAUUCGAGUAAAUCUUCGAAUUCCCAAACUGCCUCUUUUAUGAGUUCAUCCAAAGCAUUCACCUCUGUCCUGAUCUUGCUGCAGCUGGUCUCAUCCAAUUCGAGUAGAACUUUCUGCAAUCGAUCCAUCUGGUCGUAGGCAGGUUGUAAGAUUUGUGGAGAGUGGGAAACGUGAGAAAUGCGAGACGAUUGUAGAAUAUGCUGAAUCGUAUUCUUGAGAGAAGCCGCCGCACCAAAAGCCGCCAUACCCAAAUUAUCAGCUGAGAUACGAUAUAUUGUUGAAAUGAAAUUGCUUAGGUCUGCAAUUUUCCUCCAAAAUGAAGCUUAAACUAAACUGCAAUUAACCCAGAAUAAAAUUCAGUCGCCUAAGAAAGAAACGAAGAAGAAGAAGAAGGAAUUAUAAUAAGCAAACGCAGACGAAACAAAUGAUAGAUCUCAGUUCUCUGCUUACCUCUCGAAGGCGGCGGCAGCUGGUUUUGAUACAAUUUCAGAAACAUUCAAAACCACAUUCAAGAAUUUUAGUAAAUGAUUUGAAAAGAUGUGUAUAAUGUAAUGGUAAAAUCGAUCUAUUGAUGAUUUUGAAUGCAAUUGUGUGGAAGAAUUGUAGCAAGAAACAAAGCAACCGAAGAUUGUAAUUAUUAAGAAUGAGCAAUCAACCACUUGAAAAUUAUGAAAGAAGUGUGAAAACACAUGGCUUCCACUAGUUUUCGUAAAAGAAAACGCACGCCAAUAAAGCUAAUAAUAAAAUAUCCUAUAUAUAAUUAUAUUGGGUCCUAGCCCAAGCUUAUCAAUUCCAUGUGUGUAUGUAUUUAAUUUUAACAAUAAAAUUUUAAUUAAAAUAAAAAAAUUAACCAUAUAUGAAUUAAAAAAAUUACAAUAAUUUAAAUAAAAUAAAAUAAAAUUACAAUAAAAAAUAUCAAUUCCAUCAUUGUCGUUCGUAAUAUUUUUUUUAAUUACAAUAACAUUACUUUUUUUUAAAAUGUUGGAUUGUAAAGAUGAUACUCCCUCCGUCCACAAUUUAAAGCCCUACUUGCUCUUAAAUUUUUGUCCACAAUUUAAAGCCCUAUUAUGACUUUUGUACUUUUUUACUCCUCUUCUUUUCUUAUAUUUAGUACCAUUUGUCACUAAUGGACUCACCUUAAAACACAUUUAUCAUUUUAAUAUUCUAUAUUUACUACACUUUAUCACUAGUGGACCCACUCACAACACCUUUAUCACUUUAGUCAACUACCUUUAUCAUUUUAGUCAAUACCUUAUAUUUCAUCUGCAUCAUCUUUUUCAGUUUUCUUAGUCUCCGUACCCACACCAAAGUGGGGCUUUAAAUUGUGGACAGAGGGAGUAGUACUUUUUUAGAAUUACAAAAGGUAUCUAAUAUAUAAUUAAAUAAGCAAUUCACAAUUCUACAUCAUACAAAGAUGAAAACAAAAGAGAGUGCCUUAUCGACAAUUAACAUUACUUUUUAUUUAAUGACAACCAAUGGAAACAACUUUUGCACGAACUCAUAAAAAAGUCAACGUAUAAAAUUUCUAUAGGAAAAUUUCUUAUGUAAAAUCACAACAAAAAAUUAAUUUUUUACCGAGGGAAUUAUCCCUUGCUAACUUUUACGUCGGGUCAAGUAUCGGCUGAGUAUUAAUUUUACCGAGGGAAAAUCACUCGGUAAUUUUUCUAAAUUCACCGAGGAACAUUUUCCUCGGUAAUUUUCGGACACUUUUUAUUAAAAUAUCGAGGGAGAUUUCCCUCGGUAAUCCCUCGGUAAUUUUUUAUUUUUUAUUAAUAUUUAAUUUUUAUUUUUGACGUACCUAGUGACGACAAUCUUUUUAUCAAUAAAUCCAACCACAAUAACAUCUUUUCAUAAUCUAAACAUAAUUUUAAAUUUUUAAUUUCAUUCAACAUUGUUCAAUGUCCAACAAUAUGUCCAUAUGUAAAUAUUAUAAUAAUGUAUCAAAAGUUACGAAAUAAACUACAUCAAAGCUAAAUAUCAUAAUAAUGUAUCAAAAAGGUACUAAAUAAACUACAUCAAGGCUAAGGAUUGUCUUCUGGUAAGUCUGAACCUCCUGGGCCACUAUUCCUCGACUGCUGCCUGCUGGGACCUCAUGAACUGCUGAAACAUCUCAUUAGUUACUCGAAGUGAUUCCUCCAAUCGGAGUUUAUGUUCACGCUCCUCUUGAAGCUGCUGCUGCUCUUCAAAUCGAGCAUCAACGUGCUGUGAAUGGAUAGUCUGUAAUGUAACGCCCACGAGACUCUGUGCAAAGAUACCAGUGCCGAACAUCCUCCGCCCAAGAAAAUGCCAAAGAAAUUUAUCCGUAGAGUGUGAAACAAUUGACCUCGAUAUCAAUAUCAGUGCAAGUUUGCGCAAAUGUUUUUUUUCUCUCUCCUCAAUUAUUGGACUUUUUUGUGGAACGUGAGUUAUCUUCGUUGCUCAUUCCUACUAUAUUCCCUACUAGAAUAACCUCUCUCACACCCACACACUCUCCCUUUGAAUCGGUUUGAGCAAUUGAAACGGUUUGGUUCGGUUUAAAAAUUUAGGGGCGGUUUGGGUUCAGAUUUUUCCACUACGGUUCGUUUUCAACCCAAACUGCCCGAAUGCUCAGCCCCACAAUAAGGCCAUAGUUUGAACUUUCAACUACAAUAACCACUCUCUCUCUCCUCACACACCACACACUCUCUCUCUCCCUUUGAGAAUUGAGAUGGGGGAGGCUGCAGUGGCAUUCUUGCUGGAGCAAGUGAAGGAGGUGGUGAUAGGUUACGCCGAUCUGAUUUUCGGAGCGGAGAAUGAGUUGGAGCAGCUGAAGAGCGACCUGGCUUUACUCAAAGGUUUCCUCAAGCAGAUGGCGGAGAAGAAGAAGAAGGAAGAUCCGUUGAGGAUACUGGAGAGGCAGACGAGGGAUGCGGUGUACGCGGUCGAGGACACCAUAGACAAAUGCUUCACCAACGCCAUCGCCAAGAAAUCCUUCCACCGCUCUGUGGGUUUGAAAAAUGUGAGCCUCGCCAAGGAGGUGAGAUCUAUUAGAGAAGACAAAGUCAAACCAUUGCUUGACAAGUUUGCUACAUUCGAUUUCAAAUCUGCAGGCGUCCAAGAUUCAUUGACUGUGUCAAAAGGGGUACAUACUCAUUCUCAUCCUAUUUCCAUUUUCUUUUUACUAGCAGAGAUUACGUGCGUUCGCUCGUAAAAAAGAAUUAUUUUAAUGAAUAAAUUUUUAUGAGUGUAAAUUUAUAUUUUAUUUCAUUUUAUAGCAAUAUUUAUCAUUUUGAUGUAUUUUUUGAACCAAUUAUUGAUUAAUAUUUUAAAAGUAUAAUGUUAUUGAACUCAUAAAAUAAAAUUUAUUUAAAUAAACAUCACCUAAUUUUGUCUUCGUAUUUAUUUUAUAGGUUUCAUCUUUACAUCAUUAAUUUUAAUUCCAAAGAUUCUAGCAAAAUUAAAAUUAUAAUUCUUUGUAUUUAUUAAUUCUAAAUUAUUAAAAUUAUAUAAUAAAAAAUACUAGUAACUUAUAUGAUGAAGAGUCCUAAUGGAUGCUACUACUUAAAUAAUUAUUAAAAUAUAAAGGAUAAACCAUAAUAUAUUUAUAGAUAUAUUAUAUGUGUAAUAUAUUAAAUUACACAAUUGACAUUACAUUAAGUAUAUAUAUGAGGGACAUAAUAGACAAAUCAAAUUUUGUAAAAAAAGGCUCUUUUAUAAUAGGUAUAGAUUAUCAUUUUAAUUCUAAAAUUAAUAUGGAGCAACGAUGAGAAGUUGAGAAUGACUCCCUGUGUCCACAAACAAAAUUGACACAUUAUACACUGCAUAAAUUUUAAUAAAAAUGUAAGUAAAGUUUUUUUUAGUGAUGUAAGACUCAUUUUAAAUGUAAAUAAAAUUGAAUGGAUUCUAUUACUCUCUUCAUCUCAACAAAGUUGAGUCGUAUUUCUUUUCGUGUGGUCCCAACACACUUUCUAUUACUACAUCAUUUUUAGUUUGCUGGCUAUAUAGCCUAUAUUUGAUCUUUGUUUUUUGAAAAUAAAUAGGUUGUACAAACUUUGCUUAUGAAAAAUAUUUUCUAUGCAUGCACAAAGUCUUAUGACGGAGGAUUCAACUUGACAUCAUACACCUUAUCCUCCCUUGUUUAAAUUGGUGUUGGCGGCCAUUCUUACUUUCUGUAACAUUCACACAGGAUACACCAAUCAGACAAAACAGAGUAGUAGGAUUUGACAAGGAAGAAGCUACCAUAAGUGCCUAUCUCAAGGAAAAAACAGAUAAGCUCGAUGUUAUCUCGAUCGUGGGCAUACCUGGACAGGGGAAGACAACAUUGGCAUGGAAGAUUUAUCAGAGCGAUGAAAUCGGUUAUCAUUUCCCCAUUCGUAUCUGGGUUAACAUCUCUCAAGUGUUCAACAGCAGGGAUGUGUUCCUCGAAAUCCUGAAAAGAUUCUUCCCCAGCCAAGACACGUCCAGCCUCAACUUCAACGACUUGGCUCAAACAGUUCGCGCGUGUUUGGAGAAAGAGAAAUUCUUGUUAGUCUUAGACGACGUGUGGAGUGUCGUUGCGUGGGACAAGAUCAAGGAGGUGCUUCCAGUAGACAAUGGGGAGGCUAAAGUCCUCAUCACCACCCGAGAAACAGACGUGGGAGAGAAAUCCAGAGUCUACAAAGCUCCCCACAAUCUGAAGUUCCUAGAUAAUGAUGAAAGUUGGGAGCUCCUCCAAUACGAGGUGUUUGGUUUGGAAGACUGCCCGCCAGAACUGAGCACCGUUGGUUACGUUAUAGCCAAGAAGUGUGAUGGAGUGCCACUGACUAUAGUUGUGAUCGGAGGUAUCCUCUUCGACCAACUCACGAAAUCUCGAUCCACGGCUGCGAGUGAAUGGGAGACGGUGUCUACAAGUGUGAGUGGUGCCCUACAAGAUGACAAAACGCAGCGCAUAACAGAAGCUGUAGAGUUGAGCUACCAAAGGUUGCCAGAUGACUUGAGAGAAUGUUUUGUUUUCUUGGGUGUAUUUCCAGAAGAUUAUGAGAUUCCAGCUAAGAUGCUGUGCGGGCUGUGGAUUUCAGAAGGGUAUGUACUUCCGAGAAACGGGAAAAGCUUGGAGGAAAGCGCUGAAGAUAAUAUGAAUGAUCUCAUUUGCAGGAACUUGUUAAAGGUCGAGAAAACUAAUCACAUGGGCAAAGUUAAAACGUGCCAGGUUCAUGAUAUGAUACGUGCGUUCUGCAUAAAGAUAUCCAAGGACGAGAAUUUAUGUCACGAGAUUAAAACAUCCAAGACAGGCGCACUUGAACCUCCAGUUUCUGAGGUAAAAGACUCUCAUCGUCUUUGUUUCCGCUCCAAUCUCUCAAAGUUCCUGCAGGAAAGCCCGUGUGGUCCACACGUUCGUUCAUUUUUGUGUUUCUACGAGCGGCCUGUGGAGUUGGAGCCACAAUACAUAACAGUUAUACCAGAUGGCUUCAGAAAGCUUAGGAUUCUGGAGUCCAGGUGCAUCAUAUUCAACCAAUUUCCAGCAAAGAUUACCAAACUGAUUCAUCUUAGGUACCUCACCCUAUAUAUUGAAUCUCUGAAAAUUCUUCCAGAACCAAUCACCCAGCUAUGGAACCUACAAUCUCUUGUAGUCGAGACCAAGUCUCGUUCCAUUACAAUGAAAGCAAAUAUGUGGAGAAUGGUGCGGUUGAGGUAUCUCAAGACGAGAGCAGCCAUUGUCCUCGACAAUAAAUGGAAAGGUGAUGCAGGGCAGAACCUUCAUACGUUGAAUAGAUUGGCACCCGAAUGUUGCACGGAGGCCGUCUCCAAAAGGGCUAAAAACCUCAAGGCCUUGGGGAUUUCUGGUAAAGUGGCCAUUGUUUUUGAAAAUAAGUUCCUAGAAAACCUGCAUCAUCUGGAAAAGUUGAAGCUGGUGAAUAGUGUAACUUAUGAACAGACAUCCGAAGAUAAGCUGCACAGCCUUCCCCCACAGAAUCGUUUCCCGCCAUCUCUCAAGAGGCUGACAUUAACUAAUACAUUCCUGGGUUGGCAGCACAUGUCCACGUUGGCAACGAUCAGAAGCCUCGAGGCUCUAAAGUUGAAAGACAACGCAUUCGUUGGGCUCCCGUGGAAUCUUGGUCUUGACAGCUUUCCUAAUCUCCAACUCUUGCUGAUUUUAAACACAAAUCUAGUUCUUUGGGAGGCCUCAACUGACUCCUUUCCUAAGCUCAGGAUUCUUGUGGUUAAGAACUGUGAAAACCUCAAAGAAAUUCCAGAGUGUUUGGGAACACAUCUUGAGAAAUUGGAAAUAGAUCGCGUUCGCUUUUCUGCAGUUCAGUCCGCCAAGAAGAUCGAAGAAGCAAAGAAGGGAAAAUCAAAAGGCAAAUUUGAGUACCAUUCAAUCUCAUCGUAGGUCCUGCAUGUGAUACCAAGUGAUCGAGGCAAGUUUUAUUUUUUGGUAUCAGCAAUUUGAUUCAAUGCAUGUGAUGUGUUUCAAUGCGCAAAACAAGAGUUUCAAUAUUGUUCUUCAAUAUGGAUGUAUUGUUGGUCUUGUGGUUUAUUAGAUGAAAAAUGUUUAAGUAUCUGAUGUAUGCGAUUUAGUUGUCUAGAUUUGAAUUGUUUACCGUGAGUUUUAAUUGAUAUUGCCCAAGUUUGUUGGUAUGUUUUGUGCAAGAAUUGCAUGGCUUGCGAGUAAAGAGUUGUGGAUGCGAGAAGCUGACCAAAGACAUGAAUUUUUGUGAAGUUUUAGCUUGGAUGAUCGUACGCAGUUUAAACUAAAUAUAAAUUUGAUUUGAUUAAUUUUAGCAAAAAAAUUAACCAAAGACCACAUACACACCCCUAAUCUUUUUACGAAUCACACACACUUCCCUCAAAAAAAAAAAGUCUUAGGAUGCAUUCUCUUUGAUAGAAAAUGAUGAAAUACAUAAUAUUUUUCCAUUUUUUUUUCACUAUUUCAACUCGUUCUCUUAGUUAGAAAAUUGCACACCAUGUUAAAAUAUCACUUUUCAUAUAAUAUACAUGUCAAGUUGUUAUUUUUAUUUUUUGUUUAAAGAAGAUUAAUAAUAGUUCUCUAUGGUGGAAUAUCUAAAGUGCCAUGGGUUUUGAAUGUCUUCUAAAGAAAUUGAGUAGAAUUUGAUGCCUUUUAAUAGUGAGGCAUAAUUUAAAAGAUAAAUGAUGGAGUUGGGCCUUAACUUUUUGUAUUGGGCCGAAAUUUUGUUUAUUAUAUGAAGAAGCCCAAUUGAUAGGUAAUGCCGUAAUAGGUUAGCUGAUAAAAAUGCUUUAGAAAUUUUAUGAAUGAUAAUUAAUCAAUUCUUUUCUUUUCUUCUUUGACAACGAGAGCUCUUAAUCAGAUUCACUUCAUAGCUAAAUCAACAACAUUUUUAACCUCACAACUCUUGCAGUUCUUUGACAAUUUUUAACCAAAUCGGUGUCGAAAAUUCGAAGUUCAAUAAGUUUCAAAAAACUCCCUGGUGCUAGUCCCACUCUGGGCCUCAAAAAAACUCCAUCCCCAAAUAACUUCCCAACUUUUAUUUUCGGUCCGAGCCCUAAAAGGUGCCCGAUUUCAUGAAGAGCAUCGAGUUCCAAGUCGAAAGCACCCGCAACCGGCUCGAUGGACCGCCGCUCGUCGGCGUCGUAAUGAAACCUUCCAUUUCUUUGAUGUGAUUAAGCAAUCAACCAAUUUGAUCAAAGUCUUUAUGCGCGUUGAAAAUUAUCACAAGCUGCUUCCAAUUCAACUUUGAUUUUAAUAUUUUUCAACUACCAAAUUAAAUGAAACAGUGUUAAAUUAAAUUGAAUUUGAUGCCUUAUAAUAGUGAUCAGGCAUAAUUCAAAAGAUAAAUGAUGGAGAUGGGCCUUAAUUUUAUAUUGGGCCGAAUUUUUUUUAUUAUAUGAAGAAGCCCAAUUGGUCUAUGUUAAUUGAUAGGUAAUAGGUUAUCUGAUAAAAAUGCUUUAGAUUAGAAAUUUUAUGAAUGGUAAUUAAUGAAUUAUUUUCUUCUUUGACAACAAGAGCAGAGCUCUUAAUCAGAUUCACUUCAUAGCUAAAUCAACAUCUUUAAGUUUUCUGUAGUUUUCAUUCAAACUCACACCAAAUCAUGGAUUUUCUGUAGUUUUCAGCAAUCUUCUCAACCAAACAACUUUUAAAUUUCAACAGGGAUCGCAUCUCAACAAAUGUUCAUAUCGAUAAGUUUCUACUGAGGGGUAUCAUAAAUUUGAAAUAUGAAGCCAGAAAUUAGUUAGUAUAUUGCCAGAAUCUGAAAAUUUUAAGCUAUUAAAAACAACACAUAAACUGAUUACACAAAUAUUUAUGUCCAAUAAAAUUAAGGGUUAAUUGCCGGAAAAACCAUAUACUUUNNNNNNNNNNNNNNNNNNNNNNNNNNNNNNNNNNNNNNNNNNNNNNNNNNNNNNNNNNNNNNNNNNNNNNNNNNNNNNNNNNNNNNNNNNNNNNNNNNNNNNNNNNNNNNNNNNNNNNNNNNNNNNNNNNNNNNNNNNNNNNNNNNNNNNNNNNNNNNNNNNNNNNNNNNNNNNNNNNNNNNNNNNNNNNNNNNNNNNNNNNNNNNNNNNNNNNNNAGAAAAUAAAUAAACUGGAAUUAAAUAAAUAAAUAAACUGAAAAUUCGAAAAUAAAUAAAUAAAUUAAUUAAAAUCUGAAAAAAAAAUCAGAAAAUAAAUAAGCUUAAAAGUUCAAAUAUAAAUAAAUAAACUGAAAAAUCGAAAAUAAAUAACUAAAUUAAAAUCUGAAAUAUUAUUAUUUUUAGAAAAUAAAUAAACUGAAAAUUCUGAAAAUAAAUAAAACGGAAAUUAAUAAAUAAACUGAAAAUUCAGAAAAUAAAUAAAAUGGAAUUAAAUAAAUAAAUAAACUGAAAAUUUGAAAAUAAAUAAAUAAACUGAAAAUUCAGAAAAUAAAUAAAUAAACUGAAAAUUCGAAAAUAAAUAAAUUGGAAAUAAAUAAAUAAAUAAACUGAAAAUUUGAAAAUAAAUAAAAAAUAAAUAAACUGGAAUUAAAUAAAUAAAUAAACUGAAAAUUCGAAAAUAAAUAAAUUUAAUUAAAAUCUGAAAAAUUAUUUUUUUUAGAAAAUAAAUAAACUUAAAGUUCGAAAAUAAAUAAAUAAACUGAAAAUUCAGAAAAUAAAUAAAUAAAUAAAUAAAUAAACUGAAAAUUCGAAAAUAAAUAAAUAAAUAAACUGAAAAUUCAAAAAAUAAAUAAAAUGGAAUUAAAUAAAUAAAUAAACUAAAAAUUCGAAAAUAAAUAAACAGGAAAUAAAUAAACUGAAAAUUUGAAAAUAAAUAAACUGGAAAUAAAUAAAUGAAUAAAUAAACUGGAAUUAAAAUUUUCAGAAGAUAAAUAAAUAAAUAAACUGAAAACUGAAAAAUAAAUAAAUAAACUGAAUAUUUUAAAAUAAAUAAACUGAAAAUUCAGAAAAUAAAUAAACUGGAAAUAAAUAAAUGAAUAAAUAAACUGGAAUUAAAAUUUUCAGAAAAUAAAUAAAUAAAUAAACUGAAAAUUCGAAAAUAAAUAAACUGAAAAUUUAGAAAAUAAAUAAACUGAAAUGAAUAAAUAAACUGAAAAUUGAAAAAUAAAUAAACUGGAAUUAAAAUUUUCAGAAAAUAAAUAAAUAAAUCAACUGAAAACUGGAAAAUAAAUUUUUUAGAAAAUAAAUAAACUGAAAAUUCGAAAAUAAAUAAAUAAAUAUACUGAAAAUUACGAAAAUAAAUAAAUUGGAAAUAAAAUUUUCAGGACAUAAAUAAACUGGAAAUUUAAAAUAUCCUACUCCAUUUAAUUAACAUCAAAAUUGGAUUAAGUAGACAAGUAAUGGUAGAGUGUGGUGGGUCCAAUUGGUAAAGUGUAGUAAUUUAAAAAGUAAGGGAGGGUAUAUAAGUCCAAAAAGCAGAGUAGGUAGUUAAUUGGUGGACAAAAUUUUAGAGGCAAAUGGGUAGUUGAUUGGUGGACGGAGGGAGUAAUAAUUUAAACUAAAACAUAGAUAUUUUAAUAAUUCAAACUAAAACAUAUUUACAUCAAAUUAUAAAUAUGAUAAAAGUAUAUUUCUACUUGCAUUAGAAUUCUAUUUAUUAUCUAAUAAAAGCAAUGAAUUACUAGAUUUUCUAAAAUAAUAGAUUAUCAAAUGAAAUAACAUUAAUUACACGUAUAACGUACGUUCUUUCUGCUAGUAUAUCAAAAAUACACAUAAACAGUUUUCAGACAAAUCCAACUUACAACAAUUUUGGUUACAAACACAAUUCAACACUCAGGUUUCACAAUCCAUAAAUUCAUACAACAAUGUGGUAAUACAACAAAUGAAAUUACGGGAUAACACGACGUCUGAUCCCUUUGAUCGGCUCUCUCGUUUGCCUGAAAAUCGGUAGAUGGACAAUCUCAAACACUGUGAUUAUAAUAGGAUCAUUAAGACGUGAUAAUGCAAGGCAGACCUAUGCAAAUCCUUGUGAUAAUCUAAAUAAUUCAAAAUCGAUCAAACUGCUUGAUAAAAAUAAUGCAAACUCUCAACGUUGAGGGAACAGCCUGUGACUUAAAAUAGAACACAUAUAAUACCACUAGUUAAAGAAACAAUAUUUGUUGUCCAAUGAAAUUAACAUCAAAUCUUGAUUUCUACAACUCGAUCUAAAAUCAAGAGCACUUUAUAUGAGUUAGCAACAUCUACAGAAUGGCUUCUGCAGAGUGGAAGAGAGAAACUCAUUUUACGAGCACGAACACGCUAUCGAUUAACAUUAAAUAUGAGUUUGGAAAGGCAAUGUAAUUAAUAAAUAUUUUUAUAGUAUUUUGAUUCGAAAGUUCGAAAGUUAUUAUCCUAAUUUCCAAAUCAACCUAAGUUAUUGUCCUACAAAAACCCUCUAACUCCGACAACAUGAUAAUACAACAAUUGAAAUUAUGGGAUAACACGGCGUCUAAUAGUUUUGUUUUAUAGAUAUAUUCAAAAUUAAGUGAUUGUAAUUAAGUCAUGAUGGCAAGAGCUAAAGCCUAAAUGAGCUGAAACAAUGAAGAAUGUUACAUGUUUCACUUACUGAUGUAAAUUUACUAGCAAUUAAAACACAAUAGCAUUUCACAAACUUAAGAUAUGUAUUUGAUGUGGAAAAUGCACACACUUAUUUUUCUUAAGGGUAAUUUUAUACAUAGCCCCCAUUUUACUCACUAUAGCAAUCUAAUUUAAAAAAUAAUAAUAUUUUUUACUAUUUUGCCCUUUAACUCUUAAAUUAAUUAUCAACUAACUAACUACUUCAAUUUUGGAUUAAUAUUAAUUAACAAAGUAAAUAUCCAAUAUUUCGUAGUCUUUAAUAAUUUUCUACUUUUUUUCUUCUGAGGGAAAUCCUCUUCUACAUUCGAUAACCCUUAAUCCUUAAUCAAACGAAAAAUAAAAUAAAAACAGAAACAAAAACAAAAAUACAUCCAUCACUCCAUAGCCCCCAUUCGUAUUCGAUCUUCUUCUAAUUUCUAUGUUUUCAACUAAUUAGCAAUCGGCAAAUCCCUUUCGUACAUUUCCUUUUUCACUGAUUUAUCACUUGCUAUUCUUGUCAUACACUUUAACUGUGCAGAUAUCUAUAAAUCUCAUCAAAUAAUAACUUAAUCACCAUAACUCCAAAUUUUUGUGAAAAUAAAUACGUUAAAAAAAUAUAGCCCCACCUCCUUCUGACUAUUCUUAUAUUCUCAUGAAACAAAUUCUGAAAUUUAGUUGGAUUGCCAGAAUAAUCAUCUUUGCAGAAUCAAUUAAACAGAACAAUGCAUUGAAAAAUUUGUUCAUACGCUAUGGCUCCCGUCGAAAUCCCUAGGCCUUCUAAACUCAGCGUAAACUCUACAAUUUGGGGGCUAUGUAUAUAAUUUAUUAUUAGGAAUUUAUUUUGAGAGCUAUAAGGGUAGAUAUGUACAUUUAUAAUUAUUUAAAUAAUUUUUUAAAUUAGAGGCUAUAAAGAGUAAAAUNAAAUUACGGGAUAACACGACGUCUGAUCCCUUUGAUCGGCUCUCUCGUUUGCCUGAAAAUCGGUAGAUGGACAAUCUCAAACACUGUGAUUAUAAUAGGAUCAUUAAGACGUGAUAAUGCAAGGCAGACCUAUGCAAAUCCUUGUGAUAAUCUAAAUAAUUCAAAAUCGAUCAAACUAGUUGAUAAAAAUAAUGCAAACUCUCAACGUUGAGGGAACAACCUGUGCCUUAAAAUAGAACACAUAUAAUACCACUAGUUAAAGAAACAAUAUUUGUUGUCCAAUGAAAUUAACAUCAAAUCUUGAUUUCUACAACUCGAUCUAAAAAUCAAGAGCACUUGAUAUGAGUUAGCAACAUCUACAUGUACAAUGGCUUCUGCAGAGUGGAAGAGAGGAACCUCAUUUUUACGAGCACGAACACGCUAUUGAUUAACAUUAAAUAUGAGUUUGGAAAGGCAAUGUAAUUAAUAAAUAUUUUUUAUAGUAUUUUGAUUCGAAAGUUCGAAAGUUAUUAUCCUAAUUUCCAAAUCAACCUAAGUUAUUGUCCUAAAAAACCCUCUAACUCCGACAACAUGAUAAUACAACAAUUGAAAUUAUGGGAUAACACGGCGUCUAAUAGUUUUGUUUUAUAGAUAUAUUCAAAAUUAAGUGAUUGUAAUUAAGUCAUGAUGGCAAGAGCUAAAGCCUAAAUGAGCUGAAACAAUGAAGAAUGUUACAUGUUUCACUUACUGAUGUAAAUUUACUAGCAAUUAAAACACAAUAGCAUUUCACAAACUUAAGAUAUGUAUUUGAUGUGGAAAAUGCACACACUUAUUUUUCUUAAGGGUAAUUUUAUACAUAGCCCCCAUUUUACUCACUAUAGCAAUCUAAUUUAAAAAAUAAUAAUAUUUUUUACUAUUUUGCCCUUUAACUCUUAAAUUAAUUAUCAACUAACUAACUACUUCAAUUUUGGAGUAAUAUUAAUUAACAAAGUAAAUAUCCAAUAUUUUUCGUAGUCUUUAAUAAUUUUCUACUUUUUUUCUUCUGAGGGAAAUCCUCUUCUACAUUCGAUAACCCUUAAUCCUUAAUCAAACGAAAAACAAAAUAAAAACAGAAACAAAAACAAAAAUACAUCCAUCACUCCAUAGCCCCCAUUCGUAUUCGAUCUUCUUCUAAUUUCUAUGUUUGCAACUAAUUAGCAAUCGGCAAAUCCCUUUCGUACAUUUCCUUUUUCACUGAUUUAUCACUUGCUAUUCUUGUCAUACACUUUAAUUGUGCAGAUAUCUAUAAAUCUCAUCAAAUAAUAACUUAAUCACCGUAACUCCAAAUUUUUGUGAAAAUAAAUACGUUAAAAAAAUAUAGCCCCACCUCCUUCUGACUAUUCUUAUGCUAUUUGGUCACCGCCGUUGUAAGUUAUCUCAAUUUUGCCGGCAUCAAAGUGUGUGCUCGAUCCAAUUGGAUUGUAUUCAUAUAUUCUAAUGAAACAAAUUCUGAAAUUUAGUUGAUUGCCAGAAUAAUCAUCUUUGCAGAAUCAAUUAAUCAGAACAAUGCAUUGCAAAAUUUGUUCAUACGCUAUGGUUCCCGUCGAAAUCCCUAGGCCUUCUAAACUCAGCGUAAACUCUACAAUUUGGGGGCUAUGUAUAUAAUUUAUUAUUAGGAAUUUAUUUUGAGAGCUAUAAGGGUAGAUAUGUACAUUUAUAAUUAUUUUAAAUAAUUUUUUAAAUUAGAGGCUAUAAAGAGUAAAAUGGGGGCUGUGUUUAAAAUUACCCUUUUCUUAAUUGCCUCAGCAUCACAUAUAACAUUUUCUGUUAGUUUUACUCCUAUUACGUACAUAUUUUAUUUUAAGGUUUUUUUUUGUGUAUUAUAUACAUAUUGGGCCCAAGUCGGAAUAGAAGAAAAUUAUGUCAUGGGGAAUUCAGCCCAACUCAAAAUCUGGUUUUUGAUGUUGAAUUGUUGAGCUUAAUUUGAGUAAAUUGCAGUGUUUUAAUUGCUUCUUUGUUAUCAAUUCAAGGAAUAAAAAUGGAUUAUAUAUAGUUAGGCAAAUUUAAAAGAUAAAUGAUGGAGCUGGGCUUAUAUUUUGUAUUGGGCCGAAAAUUUAUUUUUAUAUAGAGAAGCCCAAUUAGUGUAUGUUAAUUCAUAGGUAAUAGGUUAGUUGAUAAAUGCCUUAGAUAUUUUAUUACUGCUUAAGGAAAGGUUUGUUGAUCUAUGUGCGCGGCCUUUAAAUUUCUUUAUUUAUGUGUAAUUUAUCCAAAAAAAAAAAUUUACUUCAUAGCUAAACCAACAACUCCUACGGUUACUAAUAAAAUUAACAUCAAAUCUUGAUUAAUUACUAUAACUACGAUCUAAAUACAAGAGCACUUGAUAUGAGUUAGCAACAUCUACACAAUGGCUUCGGCAGAGUGGAAGAGAGGAACCUCAUCUUACGUACGAGCACGAACACGCUAUCGAACCUCAGUUGGCUAGAAUCCGUUACUCCAACGAGUCUUAUCUGCGUCUGCUUCUAGUCUGAGAUGACGGUGAGCUUGAGGAAUCUACUCGACUUGACUCAGCUCGAUUCGUUUGCUUCUUUCUGCGUCUCCACGCGAGUUGGAUCCGUCUAGCUGCAAUUCCUCGCCAAUAAGGCGAUUCAUACCUACAAUGCAAAGAAGGCAACGAGUGCAAUAUAUGAUGCUCACAAUGCUAUGCACGAACGUGUUUGCAAGCUAACGAGCCCAAUACUUUCAAGUUAAUCGAUUCAUUUAUAGGUUAUGCAUUAUAAAGAAGUUACCUUAUGGCGCCUUGAACAAGUGAACUCCUUAAGAAUCUUGCGAAGAGAUCUUCAAAAACAGCAGCUCGUAAUACAAAGGCCUCGACGUUUGUUAAACAAGUUACUAGUAAUCUACAUACAGCAGAAACUCACCUGCGGCAGGGGAAGCAACUCUCGAUCGUCUCUUUCAUUUGCCUGAAAAUCGAUAGAUGGACAAUCUCAAACACUGUGACUAUAACAGAAACAUUAAGACGUAAUAUUGCAAAGUAGUAAGACUAACCUGUUAGGCAAGUUGCAGACUCACUUGACCUCAAAAAGAAGAUUCGACGAAAAGGUCAAAGGAAAACUUGUCUUUUAAUUCAUUGGCACAAGCGACAACUAAAGGAUUGCACUCGCGUAAAUGAAUGAUCUCUAUCGAAGAGUGGUCAUACGGCCAAUCGAGCUGUUGUAAUUUGUAGCAAUGUUGCAUGCUUAGUCUACGAAGCUCCGGGAAGCUUCCACGUUGAGGUCUCCAUCGCACCAUAUCGGUGUCUUCAAUUUGAAGUUCAAUAAGUUUCAAAAAACUCCCCGGUGUUAUGUCCCACUCUGGGCCUCGAAAUGCAUAUUGGUAUAACAUGAGAAUCUCGAGAUUUGGCAGCAGCGAACCAAUAUCAUUCAUAUAAUUCCAAGGAUACCCCCUAACCCAGACAACAAUAACACUGUGAGACUUGAUGGAAACAUUGAAAGAGGAAUCGUAUUACACUCAUACUUUAUCUCGGGAUUAUUAACCCAAUAUGAGAGUUUCUCUAGAUUCUGGAGUUGGGAGAUAUAACCCAAGCAGCUCAAUGGGUUUCUUUCAUCAUCAUCAUCAUCACAAGGCUUCAACUCCACUUCAAUCAUUAAUCUCUUUAAAUUAGGAAUUCUUUUGAGAACUUCCCUUGUAAAACUGUUUGCACUCACACAAUUAAGUGUCAUGAGUUUGUUCAAGGCAGCAUCAUCCGUAUUAGGGGUUGGUAUUCCCUUCCCCAAAUCUAAAGAUGUUCUAGUUCUUGCAUGUCCCAAAUUUGCACAGGCAUAUAAGGCUGAACUCCACGCUUUUUAAUGUAUAUAUAUGGAUUGAUAAUCAAGAAUUGAAGGUGAAAAAGGUUGGAUAUGGAAGGAGGGAGUUCCCCGUUGCAUUUUAGGGAAAUGUAACGCAGACAAACAAGUUUCAAAAUUUCAAUUGGGAUAUCAUAAAAUCGAACUCCAAAAGCAGCUAGCACCCUGAGCAACUUAAAACCCAUGGCAUGUAUUGGGAUUGGAUAAGGGUGAUCGGGACCAUGACAAAGGAGAGAACGGGCAGUGGAUGCACAAUCACUUUUUAUUAAAUCACACACUUGUUUGAAGCAGAAUAAGUUGUUGUAAUGGGCACACAUGCGACGCUGGUCUUUAAUAACAUCAUCACAACCUCGUAAGACAUGUAGAAACUUGAUCCUACUAGCUUCUACCUUACAUAAGUGCUGCCAACAAGAAUGCACGCGAUACUUUCUCUCUGAAAACCACGAAAUUUUUGUGUCGAGAAGAAGAUGAUACGACUCAGAAAGCUUUUCCCAGAAACCUUCAAAACUUUUUUCAAAAUUCAGUUCAAGAAAGCCCUCAGCACUCAACAGAUGAAUGAUAUCGAAUGGUCUUUGAUCAGCAUAAGGAGGGAAAGCUCCCAUAUAGAGAAAAGGCAUUUUAAAAUGUUGGGGUAAGUAGUCAUAGCUUGGGAAAAGUACCUCUGAUAUUUGAUUAUAUGCUUCCACAAAGAGUGAACUAUGUUGUUUGAGUACCUCAGUCCAAUAUUCUGGGGUCUUGUCGGCUUUUGAUAGGAGCUCUGCAACCUUGACUAUCAUAAGAGGAAGACCUUCACAUUUCUUGGCAAUCUUCUCUCCCAGUUCCUCAAGUUGGAGAGGGAAACCUUCUUCACUAAACACCUUCUCACCAAACACCUUCUCACCAAGUAAUUUCUUACUAUCUUCUUCAUUCAACAAGCUCAUUCUUAUGCCCCUAUGCUGCGUGAAUUUUAUAGCUUGUCUACUUGUAAGUAUUAUCCAAUCCCUCCAACUAUAUUAUUUUCUUUCAAGCAAUUUAUCACGUGUCUUAUUGCUUGUACCUCCCAAACAUCAUCCAACAACGAUGAGACAUUUCUUAUCCUGCAAUAAUUUUUCUUUCAAUAGUCCAACUAAUUCCUCCUCCUCACCAUCAUCUCCUUGGGCAAGCAUUCGGUAAAGCGUUGGGAUCCACUUGAGCUAGAACGCAGCGUAAUAGUUCAUUGGGCUCGCAUUUUCUGCCCACUUUGACCCAUGCUCGAAACUCAAAAUGGCUCCGAAUUGAUGGAUCUUCAAAAAAUGUUUAGCAAGAUUGUCUUUCCAACGCCGCCAUCCCAAAAUCGAAUAGUGUUUAUCUUCAAGAAGAUUAUCUCUGGCGUCUUGAAAUGCAUAAGAUUUUCCAACCAUCUUUGAGUUGAUUCCACCAAAAUCGAUUCUUGAGGAAAUAGGCUCGCCUUCUUCUUCAGCCAUAUUCUCCAUUUCAUUAGUGUACUCUUCCUCCAUCAUCUUCACCAUCUCGACGAAGCAAUCAACAUGGUGUUGAAGACUCUGCAGAUCUACAGAGAAUGACAAGUUGUGUCUCUCGCUUUGGAGUUGUGGAAGAAUCUGAGGUAAGAUAUGGGAUUCGAGUAAAUCUUCGAAUUCCCAAACUGCCUCUUUUAUGAGUUCAUCCAAAGCAUUCACCUCUGUCCUGAUCUUGCUGCAGCUGGUCUCGUCCAAUUUGAGCAGAACUUUCUGCAAGCGAUCCAUCUGGUCGUGGAGAGUGGGAAACGAGAGAAAUGCGAGACGAUUGUAGAAUACGCAGAAUCGUAUUCUUGAGAGAAGCCGCCGCACCAAAAGCCGCCAUACCCAAAUUAUCAGCUGAGAUACGAUAUAUUGUUGAAAUGAAAUUGCUUAGCUCUGCAAUUUUCCUCCAAAAUGAAGCUUAAACUAAACUGCAAUUAGCCCAGAA
rnacentral:lncRNA from 1 species